rnacentral:rRNA from 1 species
AUUGAACGCUGGCGGCAGGCCUAACACAUGCAAGUCGAACGGUAACACGAAGAAGCUUGCUUCUUUGCUGACGAGUGGCGGACGGGUGAGUCAUGUCUGUGAAACUGCCUGAUGGAGGGGGAUACCUACUGGAAACGGUAGCUAAUACCGCAUAACGUCGCAACACCAAAGAGCGGGACUUUCGGGCCUCUUGCCAUCGGCUUUUCCCAGAUGGGAUUAGCUAGUAGGUGGGGUAACGGCUCACCUAGGCCACGAUCCCUAGCUGGUCUGAGAGGAUGACCGGCCACACUGGAACUGAGACACGGUCCAGACUCCUACGGGAGGCAGCAGUGGGGAAUAUUGCACAAUGGGCGAAAGCCUGAUGCAGCAAUGCCGCGUGUAUGAAGAAGGCCUUCGGGUUGUAAAGUACUUUCAGCGGGGAGGAAGGGAGUAAAGUUAAUACCUUUGCUCAUUGACGUUACCCGAAGAAGAAGCACCGGCUAACUCCGUG